GACGAACGCUGGCGGCGUGCUUAACACAUGCAAGUCGAACGGGAUCCAAUCAUUCGCAAGAAUGAGGACGAUCUAGUGGCGAACGGGUGCGUAACACAUGAGGAACCUACCCCAGACUCUGGAAUAACAGGUGGAAACACUUGCUAAUACCGGAUGUCGUUGGACCAUCGCAUGGCGGUUCAACGAAAGAUUUAUCGGUCUGGGAGGGCCUCGUGGCCUAUCAGCUUGUUGGUGAGGUAACGGCUCACCAAGGCUUCGACGGGUAGCCGGCCUGAGAGGGCGACCGGCCACACUGGGACUGAGAUACGGCCCAGACUCCUACGGGAGGCAGCAGUGGGGAAUAUUGCACAAUGGGCGUAAGCCUGAUGCAGCAACGCCGCGUGCGGGAUGACGGCCUUCGAGUUGUAAACCGCUUUCAGUUCCGACGAAGGUAACCUGACGGUAGGAACAGAAGAAGGACCGGCCAACUACGUGCCAGCAGCCGCGGUGAUACGUAGGGUCCGAGCGUUGUCCGGAAUUAUUGGGCGUAAAGGGCUUGUAGGCGGUUCGUCGCGUCGAAAGUGAAAACUCAGGGCUUAACCCUGAGCCUGCUUCCGAUACGGGCGAACUAGAGGGAUGCAGGGGAGAACGGAAUUCCUGGUGGAGCGGUGGAAUGCGCAGAUAUCAGGAGGAACACCGGUGGCGAAGGCGGUUCUCUGGGCAUUUCCUGACGCUGAGAAGCGAAAGCGUGGGGAGCAAACAGGCUUAGAUACCCUGGUAGUCCACGCCGUAAACGGUGGGCACUAGGUGUGGGG
rnacentral:rRNA from 1 species